rnacentral:rRNA from 1 species
UACGUAGGGUGCAAGCGUUGUCCGGAAUUAUUGGGCGUAAAGAGCUCGUAGGCGGUCUGUCGCGUCGGCUGUGAAAUCCCGAGGCUCAACCUCGGGUCUGCAGUCGAUACGGGCGGACUGGAGUUCGGCAGGGGAGACUGGAAUUCCUGGUGUAGCGGUGAAAUGCGCAGAUAUCAGGAGGAACACCGGUGGCGAAGGCGGGUCUCUGGGCCGAUACUGACGCUGAGACGCGAAAGCGUGGGGAGCGAACAGG